GGAGGGUACAGCUCAGUGGUAGGGCAUGUGCUUAGCAUGCACCGGGUCCUGGGUUCAACCCCCAGCACCUCCA
rnacentral:tRNA from 1 species